rnacentral:rRNA from 1 species
UACGAAGGGACUAGCGUUGCUCGGAAUCACUGGGCGUAAAGGGUGCGUAGGCGGGUCUUUAAGUCAGGGGUGAAAUCCUGGAGCUCAACUCCAGAACUGCCUUUGAUACUGAGGAUCUUGAGUACGGGAGAGGUGAGUGGAACUGCGAGUGUAGAGGUGAAAUUCGUAGAUAUUCGCAAGAACACCAGUAGGCGAAGGCGGACUCACUGGCC